GGGGUCUGCCCACCACCACAACAGCCAUGAGGGAUACGAGCUCCUGCUCAUAAAUGUCAGGGACAGGCAGGUGAGGCUCCUCCCGUGCCCAGUCUUUCAGCCUCGCCCGCAGCCUGUCUUCUGUUGCACAGGCAACCACAGGAGCACGAAUGUGAUCUCCUGGAAGAGAAAAAUUCAUGCUGCCCUUCCACAGUCCGAG